AUUGAACGCUGGCGGCAGGCCUAACACAUGCAAGUCGAACGAGUGGCGGACGGGUGAGUAAUGUCUGGGAAACUGCCUGAUGGAGGGGGAUAACUACUGGAAACGGUAGCUAAUACCGCCAACCAUCCGCUGUGGCCAGAUGGGAUUAGCUUGUUGGGGGGGUAACGGCUAACCAAGGCGAAGAUCCCUAGCUGGUCGGAGAGGAUGACAAGCCACACUGGAACUGAGACACGGUCCAGACUCCUACGGGAGGCAGCAGUGGGGAAUAUUGCACAAUGGGCGCAAGCCUGAUGCAGCCAUGCCGCGUGUAUGAAGAAGGCCUUCGGGUUGUAAAGUACUUUCAGCGGGGAGGCGUUACCCGCAGAAGAAGCACCGGCUAACUCCGUGCCAGCCGCCGCGGUAAUAC
rnacentral:rRNA from 1 species